rnacentral:rRNA from 1 species
CUACGGGCGGCACCAGUGAGGAAUAUUGCGCAAUGGGGGAAACCCUGACGCAGCGACGCCGCGUGGAUGAUGAAGGCCUUAGGGUCGUAAAAUCCUGUCAGGUGGGAAGAAGUGGAUAUAGAUUAAUACUCUAUUUCUUUGACGGUACCACCAAAGGAAGCACCGGCUAACUCCGUGCCAGCAGCCGCGGUAAUACGGAGGGUGCAAACGUUGUUCGGAAUUACUGGGCGUAAAGCGCGCGUAGGCGGUUUGUUAAGUCAGAUGUGAAAGUCCAUGUCUCAACUAUGGAAGUGCAUUUGAAAAUGGCAGACUUGAGUACUGGAGGGGGUGAUGGAAUUCCCGGUGUAGAGGUGAAAUUCGUAGAUAUCGGGAGGAAUACCGGUGGCGAAGGCGAUCACCUGGCCAGAUACUGACGCUGAGGUGCGAAAGCGUGGGGAGCAAACAGGAUUAGAUACCCGGGUAGUC